rnacentral:rRNA from 1 species
AUUGAACGCUGGCGGCAGGCCUAACACAUGCAAGUCGAACGAGUGGCGGACGGGUGAGUAAUGUCUGGGAACAUGCCCAAUGGAGGGGGAUAACUACUGGAAACGGUAGCUAAUACCGCAUACCAUCAGAUGUGCCCAGAUGGGAUUAGCUAGUUGGUGGGGUAAGGGCUCACCAAGGCGACGAUCCCUAGCUGGUCUGAGAGGAUGACCAGCCACACUGGGACUGAGACACGGUCCAGACUCCUACGGGAGGCAGCAGUGGGGAAUAUUGGACAAUGGGGGAAAGCCUGAUGCAGCCAUGCCGCGUGUAUGAAGAAGGCCUUCGGGUUGUAAAGUACUUUCAGCGGGGAAGCGUUAUCCGCAGAAGAAGCACCGGCUAACUACGUGCCAGCAGCCGCGGUAAUUC